AGCGGCGGACGGGUGAGUAACGCGUGGGCAAUCUGCCCUAAAGACCGGGAUAACAUUCCGAAAGGGAUGCUAAUACCGGGUGUGAUCUCUUCCUCGCAUGAGGAGAAGAAGAUAGGAGAAAUCCGCUUUAGGAUGAGCCCGCGUCCCAUUAGCUAGUUGGUAGGGUAAUGGCUUACCAAGGCGACGAUGGGUAGCCGACCUGAGAGGGUGACCGGCCACACUGGGACUGAGACACGGCCCAGACUCCUACGGGAGGCAGCAGUCGGGAAUAUUGGGCAAUGGGGGAAACCCUGACCCAGCAACGCCGCGUGAGUGAUGAAGGCCUUCGGGUCGUAAAGCUCUGUCCUUGGGGACGAAGAAAUGACGGUACCCAAGAAGAAAGCCACGGCUAACUACGUGCCAGCAGCCGCGGUAAUACGUAGGUGGCGAGCGUUGUCCGGAAUUACUGGGCGUAAAGGGCGAGUAGGCGGUUUUACAAGUCAGAUGUGAAAUGCAUGGGCUCAACCCAUGAACUGCAUUUGAAACUGUAAGACUUGAGUGCGGUAGAGGAAAGUGGAAUUCCCAGUGUAGCGGUGAAAUGCGUAGAUAUUGGGAGGAACACCAGUGGCGAAGGCGACUUUCUGGGCCGUAACUGACGCUGAGGCGCGAAAGCGUGGGGAGCAAACAGGAUUAGAUACCCUGGUAGUCCACGCCGUAAACGAUGGAUGCUAGGUGUGGGAGGUAUCGACCCCUUCCGUGCCGGAGCUAACGCAAUAAGCAUCCCGCCUGGGGAGUACGACCGCAAGGUUGAAACUCAAAGGAAUUGACGGGGGCCCGCACAAGCAGCGGAGCGUGUGGUUUAAUUCGAAGCAACGCGAAGAACCUUACCAAGGCUUGACAUCC
rnacentral:rRNA from 1 species